AACGAACGCUGGCGGCAUGCCUAACACAUGUAAGUCGAACGAGGGCUUCGGCCCUAGUGGCGCACGGGUGAGUAACGCGUGGGAACCUGCCCUGUGGUACGGAAUAACUCCGGGAAACUGGAGCUAAUACCGUAUGUGUCUUGAGGGACAAAGAUUUAUCGCCAUGGGAUGGGCCCGCGUAGGAUUAGCUUGUUGGUGGGGUAACGGCCUACCAAGGCAACGAUCCUUAGCUGGUCUGAGAGGAUGAUCAGCCACACUGGGACUGAGACACGGCCCAGACUCCUACGGGAGGCAGCAGUGGGGAAUAUUGGACAAUGGGCGCAAGCCUGAUCCAGCAAUGCCGCGUGAGUGAUGAAGGCCUUCGGGUUGUAAAGCUCUUUCGCACGCGACGAUGAUGACGGUAGCGUGAGAAGAAGCCCCGGCUAACUUCGUGCCAGCAGCCGCGGUAAUACGAAGGGGGCUAGCGUUGUUCGGAAUUACUGGGCGUAAAGGGCGCGUAGGCGGUACUUCAAGUCAGGCGUGAAAGCCCCGGGCUCAACCUGGGAACCGCGCUUGAGACUGGAGAACUAGAGUUCGGGAGAGGAUGGUGGAAUUCCCAGUGUAGAGGUGAAAUUCGUAGAUAUUGGGAAGAACACCGAUGGCGAAGGCAGCCAUCUGGACCGACACUGACGCUGAGGCGCGAAAGCGUGGGGAGCAAACAG
rnacentral:rRNA from 1 species